GACGAACGCUGGCGGCGCGCUUUAUACAUGCAAGUCGAACGAGAAGCCAGAGCUUGCUCUGGUGGAAAGUGGCGAACGGGUGAGUAACACGUGAGAAACCUGCCCCAAAGACUGGGAUAAGCCGAGGAAACUUGGUCUAAUACCGGAUACCUUCUUUUUAUCACAUGUUAAAAAGAAGAAAUGCUCCGGCGCUUUGGGAUGGUCUCGCGACCUAUCAGCUUGUUAGUGAGGUAAAAGCUCACCAAGGCAUCGACGGGUAGCUGGUCUGAGAGGAUGUCCAGCCACAUUGGGACUGAGAUACGGCCCAAACUCCUACGGGAGGCAGCAGUAGGGAAUCUUGCACAAUGAGGGAAACCUUGAUGCAGCGACGCCGCGUGCGGGACGAAGGCCCUAGGUUGUAAACCGCUUUCAGUAGGGACGAAAGUGAACGGUACCUAC
rnacentral:rRNA from 1 species